ACUUCGAAUAUUUCUUUAUCUUGAUUCUUCUUGAAAUUAUUCUCCUUCUUCUCUUCUCCUUUUCUCUUUUGAUUUGUUCAGAAGGUGAAUGCAAAUUGAGUGUUGUGAGGUUCUGGUGUUGAGAGGGUGAUGAAGUGUGAUGAAGAUUUGAUGGGGAUUGCAGGUUAGUGAUGAAGCUGCUUAGAGAGAAUUAUGUGAGGGCUUGUGAUUGGAUAUGAGUGAGAGUGAAAAAUGAAUGAUUUGAGGAUGUUUUGAUGAAUGAUUGAGGAUGAGGGUGAAUGAUGAUUCUCUCAAGUUUCAAAUGUAGAGUGAGAAUUGAAUGAUUUAUUAAGAGUUGUGUGAGAGUUUUUAUGAUGAAUCAUUGGCCUACUCAGAAUGAAAUGAUUGGAUCCAUUUAUAGUUGGUUAGGGCUUUGGAGUUUGUGAAAUUCGGUUAUGAAAUUGUGUUAGGAGUUGGUUAGAGUUUGUUAGGGAUUGUGGGAUUCAAUGCAAGUGGUUUGUUGUCCUGUUAUUCUGUUUUGUUGAUCCCUAGGCCAAGUUAGUUAGGUUUUAGUUAGAUUCUGUUAGGUUAAGUGAUGAGUGAGGUUAGUUGUUGUUGUUUUUUUGAAUUGACAUUAUUCAAUUGUGGGCUUGGUUAUAUUGUGAUGCCUCUCUAUGAUCCAGUUGUGUGACUUAGUCUGCAACAUGCUUCUUCUAAGGCCUGAAUGCUGCUAGGUGCAUUGGUAUGGUUGUAACCGGCCUCAUGUAUCCCUGCUCAUGGUUUAUGUUCUUUUCGUGUCCAACUGCAGUUUCGAUGCUUUAGUUGCAAUUGAUACAUUGCAGAUUCAUUUGUGAUGCACUGUGAAUUUGUUGGCUUUGCAGGUUUAGGCUUGUUAUUUGGAUUAUCUGGAGUGUUGUGUGAUGAUUAUCAUAGCCAUGAUGUGUAGCAUGUCUGCAUUAGGUUCAACUGCCAACGUAUGGUAAUUGGACAUUCAUGACCGCUUGAUGACUUAGCUGCGGGAUUGUAUGCAAUGUCGUGGUUGUGUGGAUUGUGCAUGUCUGAGUUUGCAACAGGUGUGGCGUAUGAUUCAUAUUUAUGUCUUGCCUGGAUUCUGAUCUAAACCUUGGCCUUUAUUGCAGGUUAGACUUAUACCAUGUUGCAUUUCCUUGGUCAUGUGCUUGAUGAUGCAACAUGUUUGGCUCGUGACUUGGCCCUUGUUGCAUGUUGUAGGUGUUUCUAAAUAUUGAAGUGUUUGGUGUGUUGUGAGGCAAGGUUUGCAUUUUGUCUUGCCUUGUGAACUGAACUUGUUGCAGAUUUAGCAUGGUUGUAGUCAUGACUUGUUAGGCAUGGACUUGGCAAGGUUGUGGUUGUUGCAAGUUCCUGUUUUACUGCAGGUUUGUUGCAGGAUUUGGUGUGCCUUGGCUCAUGUUUAUGUUUUGCUUGUAGCAUGGUGCUUGGAAUGAGGCUUAUGGUUCAUUGCAUUUGGAUGAUUGAACAUGGUUUUCUUCUGACUUGGAUUUCUUUGAAUGAUUGGUCAUGGUUAUGUUUUGUUAGCAUUAUGUUUACAUGACUUUGUUAGAUGUAUGGUUGUAUGGUAUGCUUGUGAAUCUCUUGGUUCUUUUGUAGGAUGGUGCAAACAAUGGACAUAUCUUACACUUGAAUAAAUCAAAAAUAAUUCAAGAACAUAGAAGCAUGGUAGACACAAAGGGUUGGGAACAAGAAAUUAGGGUUUGAGGUGUAAGAUAGGACAGUUGACUUUGGUCAACUGGUUGACCAAAAAGUCAAUAGAUGACCAAAAGUCAACUUAGGUAGAAAAUGGUCAAAUCUUUGUAAUUUUUCCAAUGUAUAGACAUUUUGAUGAUUGUAAUUGAUAUUUGUUUAUGAAUGAAUGGAAAGAAUUAAAGUGAAA